rnacentral:rRNA from 1 species
GACGAAUGCUGGCUGCGUGCUUAACACAUGCAAGUCGAACGGUGAACCAGGGCUUGCCCUGGGGAUCAGUGGCGAACGGGUGAGUAACACGUGGGCAACCUGCCCCUCACUCUGGGAUAACUCCGGGAAACCGGGGCUAAUACCGGAUAUGACCUGGUGCGACAUCACACCAGGUGGAAAGAAUUUCGGUGAGGGAUGGGCCCGCGGCCUAUCAGCUAGUUGGUGGGGUAACGGCCCACCAAGGCGACGACGGGUAGCCGGCCUGAGAGGGCGACAGGCCACACGGGGACUGAGACACGGCCCAGACUCCUACGGGAGGCAGCAGUGGGGAAUAUUGCGCAAGGGGCGGAAGCCUGACGCAGCGACGCCGCGUGGGGGAUGACGGCCUUCGGGUUGUAAACCUCUUUCGGCCCCGACGAAGCGUGAGUGACGGUAGGGGUAGAAGAAGCACCGGCCAACUACGUGCCAGCAGCCGCAGUAACAC